AUUGAACGCUGGCGGCAGGCCUAACACAUGCAAGUCGAACGGAUCCUUCGGGAUUAGUGGCGGACGGGUGAGUAACACGUGGGAACGUGCCCUUUGGUUCGGAACAACUCAGGGAAACUUGAGCUAAUACCGGAUAAGCCCUUCGGGGAAAGAUUUAUCGCCAUUGGAGCGGCCCGCGUAGGAUUAGCUAGUUGGUGGGG
rnacentral:rRNA from 1 species